GAUGAACGCUGGCGGCGUGCCUAAUACAUGCGAGUCGAGCGAACGGACGCUAAGCUUGCUUUUCUGAUGUUAGCGGCGGACGUGUGAGUAACAUGUGGAUAACCUACCUCUAAGACUGGGAUCACUUCGGGAAACCGGAGCUAAUACCGGAUAUUAUUUUGAACCGCAUGGUUCAAAAGUUUAAUACGGUCUUGCUGUCACUUAUCGAUGUAUCCGCGCUGCAUUAGCGAGUUGGUAAGGUAACGGCUUACCAAGGCAACGAUGCAUAGCCGGCCUGAGAGGGUGAUCGGGCACACUGGAACGGAGGGACGGACCAGAAUCCUAAGGGAGGCAGAAGUAGGGAGUCAGGCGCAAUGGGCGAAAGCCUGACGGAGCAACGCAGCGUGAGUGAUGAAGGUCUUGGGAUCGUAAAACUCUGUUAGUAGGGAAGAACAUAUGUGUAAGUAAGUGUGCACAUCGUGACGGUACCAAAACAGAAAGCAACGGCUAACUACGUG
rnacentral:rRNA from 1 species